rnacentral:rRNA from 12 species
GAAAAUGACUCUCGGCAACGGAUAUCUCGGCUCUUGCAUCGAUGAAGAACGUAGCGAAAUGCGAUACUUGGUGUGAAUUGCAGAAUCCCGUGAACCAUCGAGUCUUUGAACGCAAGUUGCGCCCGAAGCCAUUUGGUUGAGGGCACGCCUGCCUGGGUGUCGUG